CACGGGGUGUGAUUACCAGGAGGUAGGGAAAAUGGAGGCCCAUGAGGGAGGCUGCCGACUACGCUACACAAACAGGGACCAUCCAGCACCACAGAAAGGAAAGCAAAUUAAGCAGACAAGAACUUCAGGAUUGUUGGCCCCACACUGGAUUGAAACUUGAAGGCACCGACCCAGGAGCACGACAGGCUGCGGGAAACAGCUGAACUGGGAGAUGGGGACGAGAUUCAGGAGCUGAUCGUACCUUCCUCCAGUUGGAGGGUAGAGAUGUCGAUACAGUGUGACUUUGCUCUGUGCUUCCAGUCAGAUUCCAAACCAAGCUGUGUUCACUGGAAAAGAAGAUGCUAACUGUUUGACUCCACAGUCAGCCUAACCAGGAGGAACUUGGCAUGAUGAAGGAUGAAGAGGAAAAUAGGUUGCUAAAAACAAGACGACAGAGUUGCUGAAAAUAAUUCCACGUAGCUUUAAAUAGGUGACCAUUCUAUCCUCAGGUGUUUUAAAGCACAACCCUUUUCCACCUUCCAGAAUCUCUGUGGUUAAGUUCAUAAGGACUUUGGAUAUUUUGCACCUUUUUGAAACCCACAGCCUAUGUGUUUUCUGAGGAGAUACUGCUCCACAAAUUGAGCUUCAAAGUGGGGCCCACCCAGGGAACACCCAUAUCUCUUCCACAGUUGUGGCCUGAUGACUCCUCUCCAUUUAUCUAGACUCCUGAAGACACAGUGUCCCCAGAAGAGCAUUUUUAGUUUCUGAAAUAAGACCACAGCAGGGAUACCCCUCAAGAAUGAGCAAGGCGUUGGGCAUAGGAAGGUGAAUCGGACAGAGUUCCUGCCCUUGGGGGAACUCGCAACAUGGUGGCAGGGUCUAAUACUCCUCAGAGAUCCCUUGCUGACACUGUGGAACGAGGCAAAUUUUCAUAAUCCUCUGAAACAGUGGUUCUCAACUGGAUUAGGGAACUUUGGAAAAGUCUGGAGACAUGUGAUGUUGUCUCAACUGGGAGAGUGCUGUUGGCUAGUCGGAUGAGGCUGGGGGCACUGCUAAACAUCUUACACAUUGCGCAGGAAUCACCAAAAGAAUGAUCUGGCCCCAAAUGUCCAUGGGGCUGGAGUUGAGAAACCCUGCUUGAAGAUUUU